UACGUAGGGGGCAAGCGUUGUCCGGAAUUAUUGGGCGUAAAGAGCGCGUAGGCGGUCCGAUAAGUCGGCUGUGAAAGUCCAGGGCUCAACCCUGGAAAGCCGGCCGAUACUGUCGGACUAGAGUCCGGAAGAGGCAAGUGGAAUUCCCGGUGUAGCGGUGAAAUGCGCAGAUAUCGGGAGGAACACCAAUGGCGAAGGCAGCUUGCUGGGACGGUACUGACGCUGAGGCGCGAAAGCGUGGGAGCAACAGG
rnacentral:rRNA from 1 species